AGCUAUAUGAGCGGUAAAGAGACUUAAAAUCUCUCGCCGCAAGGAUUGUGGGUUCGAGUCCCACCGCCCCUACCA
rnacentral:tRNA from 2 species